rnacentral:rRNA from 1 species
GAUGAACGCUGGCGGCGUGCCUAAUACAUGCAAGUCGAGCGAACAGAUGAGGAGCUUGCUCCUCUGACGUUAGCGGCGGACGGGUGAGUAACACGUGGAUAACCUACCUAUAAGACUGGGAUAACUUCGGGAAACCGGAGCUAAUACCGGAUAAUAUAUUGAACCGCAUGGUUCAAUAGUGAAAGACGGUUUUGCUGUCACUUAUAGAUGGAUCCGCGCCGCAUUAGCUAGUUGGUAAGGUAACGGCUUAUCAAGGCAACGAUGCGUAGCCGACCUGAGAGGGUGAUCGGCCACACUGGAACUGAGACACGGUCCAGACUCCUACGGGAGGCAGCAGUAGGGAAUCUUCCGCAAUGGGCGAAAGCCUGACGGAGCAACGCCGCGUGAGUGAUGAAGGUCUUCGGAUCGUAAAACUCUGUUAUUAGGGAAGAACAAAUGUGGAAGUAACUAUGCACGUCUUGACGGUACCUAAUCAGAAAGCCACGGCUAACUACGUG